GCACCAGCGACACAGGACAAAAACGAAAUAUCGCGAGCCUCUGCUUCAUGUGACGUCACAGGCUUUCCUGUAGCGGCGGGUGCGCCAGCCCUACCCAGAGACUGGAUGUGCAGCGGACGGCUUUUCUGCGCGUGCGUGGAAUUAAACUUCCAGCGAAAGGAACGUCGGGGAAGGCUGGUUGUCCAGGGAAGUUUUUACACAGUGCAAGACAGAGGAUGAACAUUAAGAAACAGCCAAUUAGCAUUAACCACUUGUGUUUUAGUAUUAUUAUACCUUUCACUAAAAUCUUGUCUGUAUUAAAAAAGAAACAACCAAACAGAUCUCUGUUUUUCUCCAAAUUUGACACAAAAUCUGUUAUGUAAUGCAUGGUUCUCCAGUUUCUGCCAAUUAGUAAAGGACCCUUUUUCUCUGUACAGUUAGUGGCAAUGGCAAACAUACGCUUUCAUACCUGAUAGUAUAAGGAUACCUGUAGGUACAUCAUCUCCCCUUGAUUAGAUUUUCAACACACCAUUAAUUUCUCCUACUGUUAUGUUAGCAAUUUUUGCGUGUGUUCUUCAGAUACUGCAGCUCCUGUAUCAGUUUCCAUUCUCAUGCUCACAUUAUUUCUGUUCUGUUUAAUCUAACAUGGAGUAUUUCAGUCUUGUUCUUCACAACAAAGAGUUCUGGGGAGUGGUUUAAGUAACAAGCAUCUUAUUAUGGACAGGCGCAGUUUAUAUAACAGAUCCUUCCCUAUUCACACAGCUGGGCAAAAAUGCUGUUGGGGGAAAAAUUACUCCUUUUGUUGUACUAUUUCCCCUCUGUGGCAAAACAAGCCCAACUUA